rnacentral:tRNA from 1 species
AUCCCAAUAGUUCAAUGGAAAGAAUAGGAAACUACGAAUUUUCAGAUAAAGGUUCGACUCCUUUUUGGGAUACCA